GUGGACAGAAAUCCAAGCUCAGGGCCUUGCACAAUACCUUUAGACUGUGAGCCUAUUGUAAGGGGGGACUCCCUGCAGCAUUGGAGCCCAACCCAGGCCAGCACCCCCACUUGACGGUUUUCCAGCCCUGACUUCCUGGGCGCCCCGGACCUGGCACUGCUCACGGAACCGCUGCCCCCACUCCUAGCGCCUGACGUGUGGGCUCGACUGGAGAGCGACUACACCAGUUUCUUGGAGGUAAUGCCAGUCAGGCAUGGAUCCAAGGGCAGGAUCCUGGGGGA
rnacentral:lncRNA from 1 species